GGACUGGUGGCUAACUCAACAAAACAUAAAGACAACAUACAACACCAUCACAGGGGACAUAAGGACAUCACCGCAACAUCUACACAGGCUAUAUCUAAACUGACUUCUAAAACACUGGAUUAUUUUGCUUUGGACCAUUUUACUUUUUUGAUCAAACAGGAUUUUAUCAAGGAAACAGUCUUGGCCUAACCAGCAGGAUCAGCUGACACUGGAGGAUUCCUCCCUGGCCACGGCCAUGUGAAGUGAACACUGUUGGUGUGAUGCUGUGUUUCAGAUUCUCUACUGGGUGUGUGUGCACCUGGAGGAUCCCUCCCAUAGGGGAGAUGAGCUCAGCCAGGGGAGGAGAUGCAAGCCCUGUGUCUAUGCACCAUGCAAUAUCAUGGGAGGAGAUAGUAUUAGUUGACUUAUUUGCUCUGACGGAGAGAUUACAAACGUUAUGACCAAAAUAAUGUGUCACAUCAAGCAAUAUCGAUAGAUGGAAGGGUGUGCCUCACAUCUCAGUGAAGUGAAUGUGAAUUUGGAGGAGUACAAAAAGUAGAAAAAUAGAGGUGCUGGGAAGAACUGAAGGCAUAAUUCAUAAUAAUGAACAUGAUGAGGGGAUGUGAUAUGAAGGAUAUAGUAUGUCACAGAGACAGUAGAUAUGGUAAUAGGAGAGGAGGAAGGUGGGGAAAGGUUCAAGUGACAUCUGAACUUGUAUAAUAGUGUAUAUAUACUGUAAUGUGAAGUGGUUGGUCCUGCUGGUAACGUUCACAUUGCAAUGCCAAUGAACCUUGCUUAUGUUUAGUAAGGCAGAGGUCAUCUGUGCAAUAAUAUGCUAGAAAUAUGUGAAAACAAGAGGGAAACAAGAGGAUAAUUAGGCUGAAAAAACACCAAUAUUACGAUCAUAAUUUGUUAUUCUAGGAUGGCAGGCUCCAAGUGCUGCUUUAAUGUGCACAAUGAACAAUGGGACAGCCACUUCUGAGUGGAUGAGAAGGGUUUUUAUGAGGAAAAAAGUAGAGCAGUGGAACCCUGAGGCUGAGAGAGAGAGGGGCAGAGAGAGAGGCUGAGGUAGAGAGAGGGGCAGAGAGAGGUAGGUAGAGAGAGGGGCAGAGAGAGGGGCAGAGAGAGAGGGGUGAAGAGUGGGACCAUUUGUGGUGCUUUGCCAUUGUUUAACACAAGAAAGGACACACUCAGAGUGAAGAACCAUACUGUACAGUCCCUCACAGAACACACAUUCAAAUUUAAAAUACUUUACAAUCAUUGUGCAGCUGGUUCCACUUUAUAUGUCCUCCUCGGGAUAUUGCAACAGAGACAGUAAUGGCACAUUCUCCCCAGCCACACCCAAAACAAUUAAAGGCUUCAACAGACAAAAGAUGACUUGCUCUUCCUUCUCAUCUCACCCACUUUUAUUUACAGCGAGCAAGAGGGUAGGACCUCCAAAUCUUUAACCAUCUUAUUUAUGUUUUCUUAGGUUCAACGUGUUGGCACCAACAGUGUUCAUCCAGUCAUGGACCUCGUCAUGAGAGCUCUUAGGCCAGAAUAUGCAACAACAAAGUAAUAUAUCAACUGGCCUGUAACAACAUUCCCUAGUGAUAGCUGUUUCUCCUGGUUUGGCCUCUUUUCAAUAAGGUAAAAUAGCAGCUAUUGGUACAGUCUGUUUCUCUCAGAUGAACCAAGUACAGAUGACACUCUGGUCCCGCCAUGUUUUAAAAACAUAUGUAGCCCAUAGCAACAGCUAUACUAUUAUGUAAGACUUAUUUUAUUCUUGACAUUUUAUUAUUAUUCUGGCCAUGGUAAAUACUUAUAAAUGAAAGCCAGCUUAAGGCAUGAGUGGUAUCUCCUUCAAAAGUAAUUUUUUCUCAGGACUUGAAAAGUUGAUGGUGCCAAGUUCCAACUGAGAUUUCUUCAGUCAUUUUCAAACACACAUCAAAUUAGUACAUGAAUACAUGAGACUUUUCCACUUGGAGAGUACCAGCUGGACCAUACUAUAUAUCUAUGACCUCUGCUGACUUAACUAUUGACCUAAGACCUUUGACCCAGGGAAGCAACAAUAGUUCCCUGUGAUGUUGAGAGUAUUUCCAGAUUUCUGUCACUGUACUGUCUAUUGCUGUGCAUGGAAAUCUCUGUCAUCAAAAUAAGUUCAGUCGAUGAAACAUGAUGUAAUGGGGAGGUCACUUUGACACAUCAGAUCACUGCAUUUUAGAAGUCACUAUAUCUUGGCUUUGGUGUCAAAAACAGGGCCAACCCAUGAGAUGUGCCAUCACAGAGUAGGUCUACUAGUAUUACUGAGCCCUACUAUAUCAGUAUAGCACUAAAACAACCAUGUUAAUGACUUGGAGGAAGAGCUUUGAAUGGGAGUGUGAUGCCAGUUUGGCAAAAUCAAUUAUGAUCCCUGAUGACAAAUUGACAUGGGGAUGAAGCUCUGGGUCCAGCAUUUCACCAAGGGUCAAUGACACAGUAAACGGAUUCAAAUUCAGUAAUCAAGAACAACUCUGUAUGAUAAUAGAGCAUUCACAAAUAGGCCUCAAGACAAGGAUUUACUUCCAAAAAAUGAAAAAUAGGAAGUCCAAACAUGUUAAUCUAUGUGUGUCGAUGUCUGGUAAAUGUGUAUGUUGUGAUAGUGGAGGAAAUGUUUUGUAUUCAAAUUGAAUAUGUACACGUGCAUUAGUGUUAGAAGAAGGAUCAUGCUUGGGCUGGUGUGCUAACUGAACACUAAUUUGGGCUUCGUUGGGAGGGAUGGCUAAUGAUCUGAAGAUAACUGUGUCCAUAUCAGUCAAACCUUUUUCAUGACUCCCUCCGUUACUCUUGGCAUUAGUCUGGAGCACAGAUCCACCCUCUAUUCUUUGCCCCAAGGCUGCCCUGCUCUGUCCUGCUGGUAGCCCUGCCUAUACAAUGAGACACACACAACAUCAGCCUGACUCUAUGCACAGCCAGAGGUCCUGAGGUCACAAACAUUCACAACCUUUGUCAACUUGAACACCACCUGGGACAAGGGCUGUCAUUGGCUGAAACAUGGAAGUGGUACACAUCUGUCUGGCAGGAAAAGAGGCCUCUAUGACUUACAGCCCAUCUUAGACUGCACAAUACAAAAGGUAGACUUGACAUCGACACAGAUGCUUUCAGAUAUUCAAAGCCUGGGGAAUACAUGUAUUACCCUUGCAUUAAACUUAAUUCAUAGCUCUCAUUGAAAAGUAAUUCAUGUCUUUCCCAGUGGAGAAAACUGUAUGAUUAGCAUUACUGAUGAAAAACUGUUGUGAACAUUUUUUGGUUUGUUUUGUGUCCUGUGCCUGUGUCUUUAAAUGUCUUGGAUUAAAUGUUCUUGGCACGGUCUGUGUCUGAAAAAUGACCGAACUGCAACAAAUGUCUCUUUGUUCUCUCACUAAUCCUUCUUGGAGUCUGAAGUCUGUCUUUGAAAACAUUCUUUAUUUCUGGUCAUGAUCUAUGUCUGUUCUAUGUGUUCCAUUACACUGUGUUCCACUAAAUGCAGACAGAACCCUUGACAGAGAGGUGCUGUAAUUAAAAGUGCUUGAUCGUG